UACGUAGGGUGCGAGCGUUGUCCGGAAUUAUUGGGCGUAAAGAGCUCGUAGGCGGUGUGUCACGUCGGCCGUGAAAACCUGCAGCUUAACUGUGGGCCUGCGGCCGAUACGGGCAGACUUGAGUUCGGUAGGGGGAGACUGGAAUUCCUGGUGUAGCGGUGAAAUGCGCAGAUAUCAGGAGGAACACCGGUGGCGAAGGCGGGUCUCUGGGCCGAUACUGACGCUGAGGAGCGAAAGCGUGGGGAGCGAACAGG
rnacentral:rRNA from 1 species